ACGAACGCUGGCGGCGUGCUUAACCCCUGCAAGUCGAACGGAAAGGCCCUGCUUUUGUGGGGUGCUCGAGUGGCGAACGGGUGAGUAACACGUGAGUAACCUGCCCUUGACUUUGGGAUAACUUCAGGAAACUGGGGCUAAUACCGGAUAGGAGCUCCUGCUGCAUGGUGGGGGUUGGAAAGUUUCGGCGGUUGGGGAUGGACUCGCGGCUUAUCAGCUUGUUGGUGGGGUAGUGGCUUACCAAGGCUUUGACGGGUAGCCGGCCUGAGAGGGUGACCGGCCACAUUGGGACUGAGAUACGGCCCAGACUCCUACGGGAGGCAGCAGUGGGGAAUAUUGCACAAUGGGCGGAAGCCUGAUGCAGCAACGCCGCGUGCGGGAUGACGGCCUUCGGGUUGUAACCCGCUUUCGCCUGUGACGAAGCGUGAGUGACGGUAAUGUGUAAAGAAGCACCGGCUAACUACGUG
rnacentral:rRNA from 1 species